ensembl:lncRNA
GAGCGGGCGGUUUUGCGUUCGGAGGACUCACCAUUCACCUGCCCGUACCCGGAAGUCCUCCAGAACCAUAGAGUUCUAGCGUGUGUGGGGCUAGAGUGGGCAUAAGGGUUGCUUGGAGGACUGGGGAGGCCUGGAGGUCCUCCAGAGUCAUAAAGUUGGGGGAUAUGUGGGGAUAGAGUGGGUAUAAGGGUUGCUUGGAGGACUGUGUAGGCCUUGAGGUCCUCCAGAGCCAUAGAGUUGUGGCACUUGAGGGGAUAGAGUGGCCACAGGGGUUGUUGGGGGGACUGGGUAGGCAGGAGUCCUCCAGAGCCAUAGAGUUCUAGCGUGUGUGGGGCUAGAGUGGGCAUAAGGGUUGCUUGGAGGGCUGGGGGUCCUCCAGGGUCAUAGAGUUGCGGGGUGGGUGGGGGGAGAGCGGGCGGUUUUGCGUUCGGAGGACUCACCAUUCACCUGCCCAUAGCCGGAAGUCCUCCAGAACCAUAGAGUUCUAGCGUGUGUGGGGCUAGAGUGGGCAUAAGGGUUGCUUGGAGGACUGGGUAGGCCUGGAGGUCCUCCAGAGCCAUAGAGUUGUGGCAGUUGAGGGGAUAGAGUGGCCACAGGGGUUGCUUGGGGGACUGGGGAGGGGUGGGGACCUCCAGAGCCAUAGAGUUGGGGGAUAUGUGGGGAUAGAGUGGGCAUAAGGGUUGCUGGGAGGGCUGGCUAGGCCUGGAGGACCUCCAGAGUCAUAGAGUUGUGGCACUUGAGGGGAUAGAGUGGCCACAGGGGUUGUUGGGGGGACUGGGUAGGCAGGAGUGCUCCAGAGCCAUAGAGUUAUAGCGUGUGUGGGGCUAGAGUGGGCAUAAGUGUUGCUUGGAGGGCUGGGGGUCCUCCAGGGUCAUAGAGUUGCGGGGUGGGUGG